rnacentral:siRNA from 1 species
UAGAGGUGUCUUACGCGAAUCC